GGUACCGGGUGGUGCAGGGUAGAGUACCGGGUGGUGCAGGCUAGUGUACCGGGUGGUGAAGGGUAGAGUACCGGGUGGUGCAGGGUAGUGUACCAGGUGGAGGUAGCAGGGUAGUGUACCGGGUGGUAGUAGCAGGGUAGAGUACCGGGUGGGGUACAGGAUAGUGUACCGGGUGGUGCAGGGUAGUGUACCGGGUGGGAGCAGGGUAGUGUACCGGGUGGUGCAGGGUAGUGUUACCGGGUGGUGCAGGGUAGUGUACCGGGUGGGAGCAGGGUAGAGUACCGGGUGGUGUAGGGUAGUGUACCGGGUGGUGUAGGGUAGUGUUCCCGGUGGUGCAGGGUAGUGUUCCCGGGUGGGAGCAGGGUAGAGUACCGGGUGGUGCAGGGUAGUGUACCGGGUGGUAGCAGGGUAGUGUACCGGUGGUAGCAGGGUAGUGUACCGGGUGGUAGCAGGGUAGAGUACCGGGUGGUGCAGCCUAGAGUACCGGGUCGGAGCCGGCUGUUAACAGUGACUAAAGAUCAGCGUUGGGUACUGGACAGCGGCUGGCUAGUGGUGACUAUUUAACAGUCUGAUGGAGUGUGUGUGUGUGUGUGUGUGUGUGUGUGACAGAGUAACAAAUCAUGAAUGAUAAAAGUAUGAUAUUUGUUCAAAGUUUAUAUUUUCACGUUGAAGGAGUCAAUUUUCAAAGACGGUUCCAAAAAAUGUUUUAAAAAUCUAUGUUUAUGUCGGGAUCAGAUGACAAGCUGCUGGUCUGUCCAGGGGGAGUGUCCGGUUCACUGGAGUCAGGGGGCGUGUCCGGCUGGAGCCAGGGGGCGUGUCCGGCUGGAGCCAGGGGGCGUGUCUGGACGGAGCCGGGGGGCGUGUCCGGCUGGAGCCAGGGGGCGUGUCCUGCUGGAGCCAGGGGUGUGUCCGGCUGGAGCCAGGGGUGGAGUAACAUCUCGUCCAGAGUGGGCCGUCCUCGGGGUCGCUUCGCCAGACACCUCCUCAACAGAUCCACACAGUCUGGAGAACAAAGGAGAGAGAACAAGUCUGUCUGUCUGUCUGUGUAUUCCUCUGUCUGUCUGU
ensembl:lncRNA